rnacentral:rRNA from 1 species
AUUGAACGCUGGCGGCAGGCCUAACACAUGCAAGUCGAACGAGUGGCGGACGGGUGAGUAAUGCUUGGGAAUCUGCCUUAUGGAGGGGGAUAACGACGGGAAACUGUAGCUAAUACCGCGUACCAUAGGAUGAGCCCAAGUGGGAUUAGGUAGUUGUUGGGGUAAUGGCUCACCAAGCCGACGAUCUCUAGCUGGUCUGAGAGGAUGCCCAGCCACACGGGGACUGAGACACGGCCCGGACUCCUACGGGAGGCAGCAGUGGGGAAUAUUGCGCAAUGGGCGCAACCCUGACGCAGCCAUGCCGCGUGAAUGAAGAAGGCCUUCGGGUUGUAAAGUACUUUCGGUGGCGAGGCGUUAAUCGCAGAAGAAGCACCGGCUAACUCCGUGCCAGCAGCCGCGGUAAUAC